CUCGGGGUUGUGCGAUUCAUGGGCUCGAGCAAACGGACGUUGAGGGCAAGGCCUGAGCGUGCUGGAGGCGGGUGUACGAGGGACCGCGCCGUCGAGUGGUGGCUGUGAGGAGAAAACUUUAUAUUUUGGAACAAAGAUACCUUCAGCGGAGAUGUUGAAGAAUUUAUUCACAGCAAUCAAAAUAACAAUCAACUGACUGCAAGUCAAUGGUCAGCAAUGUCACGAUAAGAAUGGAUACUUAGCUUUCAAAGAAAAUAUGAAUAUCUUUUGUGGCACUGUUUAUAAACAAAAUGACAAAACAAGAAUAUUCAAUUGAACAGACUUCUACUUUUGAUUGUAAAUUACAUGCUAACGUGAAAUGUGCUUGCAAGCAGGAAAUAAAUGUGUAUAAUAUUGCACAUGAUAGUGAAAGGAAACACUGGUUUUCCAACAAGUAAUCAGAACUGGAUCAUUUACUAAAGGAUACCAUUAAUGUUAAUCAUACUUGUGGGCUGCCAAUGCUGAUGAAUUGAGAAUAAAAUAUUUUGGUCAUA